rnacentral:rRNA from 1 species
CCUACGGGUGGCAGCAGUGGGGAAUAUUGCGCAAUGGGCGAAAGCCUGACGCAGCGACGCCGCGUGAGGGAUGAAGGUCUUCGGAUCGUAAACCUCUGUCAGCAGGGAAGAACGGUCACUGUGCUAAUCAGCAGUGAAUUGACGGUACCUGCAAAGGAAGCACCGGCUAACUCCGUGCCAGCAGCCGCGGUAAUACGGAGGGUGCGAGCGUUAAUCGGAAUUACUGGGCGUAAAGCGCUCGUAGGCGGUAUGUCAAGUCAAGGGUGAAAUCCCCGCGCUCAACGUGGGAACUGCCUUUGAAACUGGCAAACUGGAGUGUGUGAGAGGAUAGUGGAAUUCCAGGUGUAGGAGUGAAAUCCAUAGAUAUCACACAGAACACCGAUUGCGAAGGCAUCUCACGAAUCCGCGAUUGACGCUGAUGCACGAAAGCGUGGGUAUCAAACAGGAUUAGAUACCCUUGUAGUC